ensembl:lncRNA
UUUAAAUAUUUGUGUUUAUUUAAUUGUUUAAUCAUUUAAAUAUUUAAAUAUUUAUUUAGUGAUAAUUAAUAAUUAUUUAUUAUUAAUUAGCUUUAAUUAAAUUACUUCUUUAAUUACUACUCAUAUUUACAUUUCCAUCCCCCCAUUCCCUCUCCCUCCCAUCCAUACCCAUGUUCCCCACCAACCCCAACAACCCCCCCAACCCAUUCCCCAGCUCCUCCCCAAGGAUAGUGAGGCCCUCUACCAGGGACCUUCAAAGGCUGUCAUAUCAUUUGGGGGAGGGCCUAGGCCCUCCUUGCUGUAUCUGGGCUGCAAUAGUAUCCCUCCAUAGGGAAUGGGCUCCCAAAGUCCAUUUGUGUUCUAGGGUUAAAGACUGGCUCCACUGUCAGAGGCCCCAUUGACUGCUUUGGCCUCCUAUCUGACAGCCACAUUCACAGAGCUUGUUCCAUUCCAGUGCUGUUUCUGCAGCAUUAUGACUAGUGUCUCCAUGCAUUCACUAGGUCAGGUCAACUUUCUGUGGGUUUCUGUAACACUGUCUUGGCUUCUUUGCUCAUCCCACCUCCCUCUGCACAAUUGGAUUCCUGGGGUAUGGUUCAGUGCUUAGCUGUGGGUGCCUGUUUCUGCUUCAAACAGCUACUGGAUGAAGGCUCUAGGAAUGGUAACCAAGGUAGACAUCAAUCUCCUUAUAGAGGAAGGGCAUCAAAGGCAUCCUCUCAUACCACUGCCUAGAUUCUUAGAUGGGGUCAUCAAAGUGGAUCCCCUAACAUUGCACCUGUGCCAGACUUCUCUAAAAACCUGUAUUGUCUCCCUCUAACAAGGCAUCUCCUUUUAUGCCCUCCUCUAUUCCUCCCCUGUCUCAGUCCUCUUGUUCUCCUCCCCCUUCCCCUUCUUCCUUUCCCACCUCCUUCCUUUCCACCCAUACCCUGUGCUCCCACUUUGUUCAGGGAUUCUUGUGCCCCUCCCCUUCUUCCAGGGACUAAGACAUCUUCUCUUGUGGUCCUCCUUGUUUCCUAGCUCCUCUGGCAGUGUGGAUUGAAGACUGGUAAUCUUUGCUCUAUGUCUAAAUAUUAUAUAUGAUGAGUACAUACCAUGUUUGUCAUUUUGUGACUGGGUUACCUCACUCAGGAUGGUUUCUUCUAGUUCCAUCCAUUUGCCUGCAAAUUUCAAGAUUCCAUUGUUUUUUUCUGAGGAGUAGUACCCCAUUGUGUAAAUGUACCACAUUUUCUCUAUCCAUUCUUCAGUUGAGGGGCAUGUAGGUUGCUUCCAGGUUCUGGCUAUUACAAAUAAUGCUGCUAUAAACAUAGUUGAACAUAUGUCUUUAUUGUAUGAAUGUGCAUUCUUUGGGUAUAUACCCAAGAGAGGAAUUGUUGGAUCUUGAGGUAGGCUGAUUCCCAUUUUCCUGAGAAACCAACAUACUGAUUUCCAAAGUGGUUGUACAAGUUUGUACUCCCACCAGAAAUGGAGGAGUGUUGCUCUUUCUCCAUAUCCUUCCUAGCAUUGUCAUUGGUGUUAUUGAUUUUAGCCAUUCUGACAGGAGUAGGAUGGUAUCUCAGAGUGGUUUUGAGCUGCAUUUCCCUGAUUGCUAAGGAUGUUAGCCCUUUAUCAAUUGUCUUUCGGCCAUUUUAGAUUCCUCUGUUGAGAAUUCUCUAUUUAGUUCUGCACCCCAACUUUUAAUUGCAUUGUUUGGUGUUUUGGUGGCUAGCUUCUUGAGUUCAUUGUAUAUUUUGGUAAUCAGCCUUCUGUCAGAUGUGGGGUUGGUGAAUAUCUUUUCCCAUUCUGUGUGCUGGUGUUUUGUCUUGUUGACUGUGUCCUUUCCCUUACAGAAGCUUCUCAGUUUCAUGAGGUCCCAUUUAUUAAUUGUCGAUCUCAAUGUUUGUGCUACUGGUGUUAUGUUCAGAAAUCAGUCUCCUGUACCAAUUUGUUUGAGGGUACCACCUAUCUUCUCUUCUAGGAAGUUCAGUGUGACUGAAUUUAUGUUGAGGUCUUUGAUCCAUUUGGACUUAAGUUUUGUGCAUAGCGAUGGACAUGGAUCUAUCUGCAGUCUUCUACAUGCCAGCAUCCAGUUAAUGCCAGCACCAUUUGUUGAAUAUGCUUCCUUUAUUCCAUCAUAUAAAUUUAGCUUCUUUGUCAAAAAUCAGUUCAUAGAUGUGUGGGUUAAUAUCAGUGUUUUUAACUCAUUGGUCAACCUGUCUAUUAUGUACUCUCUAUCCAUAUCUUUUCAAUAUUGUAUUUGAAGUACUAGCUAGAGCAAUAAAACAAGGGGAUACAAAUUGGAAAGGAAGAAGUCAAACUUUCACUAUUUGCAGAUGAUAUGAUAGUUCACACAAGUGACCCGAAAAAGUCUACCAGGGAACUUCAACAGCUGAUAGACACCUCCAGCAAAGUGGCAGAAUACAAGAUUAACUCAAAAAAUAAAUAGCCCUACUAUAUACAUAUGAUAAAGCACUGAGAAAGAAGUCAGAGAAACAUCACUCUUUACAAUAGCAACUAACAACAUAAAAUAUCUUGGAGUAACAUGAACCAAAAAUGAGAAAGACCUGUAUAGUAAGAACUUUGAGUCUUUGAAGAAAGAAAUUAAAGAAGAUACCAGAAAAUGGAAAGAUCUCCCAUGCUCUUGGAUUGGUAGGAUCAACAUAGUAAAAAUGGCAAUCUUGCCAAAAGCAAUCUACAGAUUCGAUGCAAUCCCCAUCAAAAUCCCAACACAAUUCUUCACGGACCUUGAAAGAACAGUACUCAACUACAUAUAGAAAAACAAAAACCCAGGAUAGCCAAAACAACCCUGUACAAUAAAGGAAAUUAUUGUACAGGCAUCACUAUCCCUGUCUUCAUUCUCUAUUAUAGAGCCAUAAUCCUGAAAACAGCUUGAUAUUGGCACAAAUAUAUAAUUCCAUUUCAAUUAAAAUAUAUUUUAAAUGUUUUAUUUGUGUGAUUACAAUAUAAUUUAAAUUAUGUCAUGCUUUCAAGCUACGUUCUGACAUGUUCUCUUCUUCAUUUCCUGCCUUCAAGUUCCUGCCUUGAAUUCUUCCCUGACUCCCCUGAGUGAUGGACUAUAAGCUAUAAACUUAAGCAAACCCUGUCUCCCCAAGUUGCUUUUGUUCAUAGUGUUGUUUUGCAGAGAGAAAAAGCAAACUCUAGAGCACAUAAAAACUUGUUUAUAGGGGUGGUAUCUUUUCUGGUCACAAUUUGGAAGAAAAUAUCCAACCAGCAUAGCAACAAUCCUGAUAAGAGACUCAGGCAAGUUACUAGGUGUAUAUGGGAAGACACAGCCUGAGAGUCUGGCUCAGGUUUGAGGAAAAUACAAUCUCAUUCAGUUUCUCAAGGACCCUAGAAAAACUACUAUAAUAUACCAGGCAGUAGUGACCCCAUGGAUGGGAAGGGGUCUUUAGUAGGCCACUCCCCUUACAUCUCUAUAUCACCCCCUAUUGUCACACUAGGGUCAAUUUUCGAAUUCAUGAAACUGGAAGACACUUCAAACUAUCCUAAACCAUUGCAUUAACUAUAGUAUAAAAGUAUAAUGUUUGGCGUUAUCUGUCCUCAAAUAUCAAUAGAUUCCAUUAUUACUAAAUUAAUUUUUAUCUCCAGACCCUUUCAGUGGGUAGAAUUUAUAUGUUUCAUCAGCUGCAUUGUUUAAAUAUUCAAAUAUGCAAGUAUUUUAUAUAUAGUAUAUAUAAUAUAUACACAUUUAUGAGCAUGCCUAUCUGUAUUUGUAAAUGUGUAUGUGUCUGUAUAAGCACCAAUUUAAAGAUAUCUACCUCCACAUUUCAGUUUCAGUACACUCGAACCCAAAUUGAGGCUUUGGCUCUAUUAGUUAAAACAUGUUUUGGUGUGUCUUUCAAAUGUACUGGGUAAUGUUUCUAUCUCAUUUAUGUUAAGGCCAAUGGAUCCUUUCAGAGGCCUUAUUGCUUUUCACAGUGCCUAGACAUUUUAGUACAUUUAAGGAUGUUUUCAGUUGCAUUGGUUGAAGGGUGUCUGAUAACUUAGUCUCUUUAUUUGUAAAACAAAUUUAUGCAUUUUGAUCAUAUUCCCUUGCCAAACUCCUCUCAGAUACUCCUUUUGCCCUACCCACCCAAUGAAGGCGGUGACGUAAUGAGUUCACUAUACCCAAGAUAAAUGAUAAAUGGGUGUUUUACUAGGGAGCAACUUACAAAGAUAAUACUGUUGCGGCCUUCCUGAGGAUGCAAUCUCUGCGCUUCUGAUCUGAUCCAGGACAACAGAGAGGGAGGGAGAAGAUAGAGAGCCCCCAUGCCUUACCUUCUGGUCACACCUGAAGCCACACCCAAAGGGGCAAGGCCACCAACCCAAAUUCACUGGCAAGGAGUGCUACUACAGCCCAACUUCAUGUUCUCUCUCUCCAAAAGAAACAACAAACAAAAAAGUGAAAAUCAAAGUGAACAAAUAAAAACAUGAACAAAAAUAUAUUUUUUGGUUUUUUUCCUCCAUUUUUAUUUAAAUUAGAAACAAGAUUGUUUUACAUGUGAAUCCUAGUUCACUCUCCCUCUUCCUCCCCUCCUCCUCUGCCCCCCCCACUAACACCCUACUUAUUCUAUACCAUUUCUGAGUGAGGUAAUCCAGUCACAAAAAGACAAACAUGGUAUGCAGUCACUCAUAUAUGGAUUUUACACAUAGAGCAAAGGAUUACCAGCCUACAAUCCACACCACUAGAGAAGCUUAACAAAAAUAUAUUAAAACAAAAAAGUUCAUCAAAAUGAAAUGUGUCCCUGUACGCGUGCACACACACACACACACACACACACACACACACACACACACACACACACAAACUGACUUGUGUUGGCGGCCAACUAUUCCUGAGAAUGGGGACUGCCUGGCAGUGUGAUUGCUAUAUCCAGUAACACACCAUUUGGGAAGCAGAUUUUCCCUUUCCCAGGAGGGAUCAACUGCAAAUAGCAACUUUGUUAGGGAUAGGACUUUUUUUUCUACCUUCCUUUCUUAGUGCUGAUACUUUUUUCUGAUUUGAACCUAUGGAAAUCCCGCACAUGCUAUCAAGAAUUUUGUGAUGUGUGUCACUGUUUGUGUCUGGAAAACACUGUUUUCUUUGAGCCAUCACCCACCUCUGGCCCUUAUAAUCGGAUCUACCUCUUGAUUCCUGAGUCUAUUAUAAGAAUAGGCUUCUCUGAUGGAUUCCAGUUACACACUGAUAACACUGUGUUAUUAGAAGUCAUUAGAUCACUAUUUAACAGGAUAUUAGUAGUAGGUUUUAUCCAGGCCCAGGAUGACUGUCUUUAUGUGAGUUGAACAUUUUUGCUUACAGCCUUUAAUAUGAUUUCUUUGUUCUGAACAUUUAGGAUUUUGAUUACCAUGUGUCACGGGAACUAUUUAUUGUUCAGUAUAUCAAUAGUUGUUCAAUAGGUACCUCUUUCUUUUGAUUGGGAAAGUAUUCUAUUGUUUAGUUAAAAUUUUUCUCUACACCUUUGACCUGCAUUUUUUUCUCCCUCUGCUAUACAUAUUGUUGUUGUUUUGGUCCUUUCAUAAUGUCCAAAUUUUCCUGUAGUUUUACAUAUGGAUUUUCUCUUUUUUAGACUUCUUUUUAGAUUUUUUUGUCUUCAAGAUCUGAAAGUUUCUCUUUCAUGUCAUUUAAUCUGUUGGUGAGGCUUACAUUUGAGUUUUUAUUUGACAUUCUGAGUGUUUUCAUUUCCAGUUUUAUUUUGGUUAAUGUUUACUUUGGGGAUUUUGCUUCUUUGUUCAGCUCUCUUUUAAUUUCUUGAUUUGCUUUCAUUGUUUCAUUCAACUCUAUGUUUUCAGUCUUCAUUAAGGCACUUACUAAUAUCUUGUCAAAGGACCUUGUAUAUAUUCAUAGUUGUUAUUUUGAAGUCUUAGUCUUAUGCUUCAGUUAAAUUCAUUUUUUCAGGGUCUAUUACCAUAGAUUUUCUGGCUUCUGAAGGAAGAAUACUGUCUUGUUUUGUUCAUGUUCAUGUUUUUUUUCUCUGAGAUCUAAGCAUCUGGAAUCAUGAUGUUUCAAGUAUUCUCCUGUAGAUACCUUCUCUAAUCUUUUUUGGGUGGGUAUUCCUUUCUUAGGAUGCUGCUGUGUGGGGUCCCUUGGCGAGAAUGGUUCUGUAUUCACCACAAGUCACCAUGGAAAGGAACGGGCUAGAUGGAGAGACUGAAAGAGCCUUCAUCCAGUAGCUGAUGGAAACAGAAGCAUACACUCACAGCUAAACAGGGAGCUGAACUCUGGAAUCCAGUUGCUGAGAGGAAGAAGUGAUGAGCAAAGGGGUCAAGACCAGGCUGGGGAGAUCCACAGAAACAGCUGACCUGAACAAGGGGAACUCUUGUACCCCAGGUUGAUAGGUGGGAAACCAGCAUAAGACUAUUCCAGACCCCCUGAAUGUGGAUGUCAGUUUGGAGGUCUGGGCAAUCAAUAGGGCCUCUGAUAGUGGAUCACUAUUUAUCCUUAGUACAGGAAUUGACUUUGGGAGCCCACUCCACAUAGAUGGAUACUCUCUCAGCCUAGACACAUGGGGCAGAGUGUAGGCCCUGCUUCAAAUGAUAUGACAGACUUUGAAGAUUCCCCCAUGAAAGGCCUCACCCUCCCUGUAGAGCAGAAUGGGGAUGGGAUAGAAGGUCAAUGGGGGUGGGGGAGCAGGAGAUUACAGGAGGGAGAGAGAACUGGGAUUGACAUGAAAACAAGCUUGUUUCUAAUUUAAAUUUUAAAAAUGAAGGAAAUCAUUCCUGGAACUGAAAAGCCAAUUCCUAGGGUUAGUAAAGUCUUCAACCUUGGAGGACAACUCACAACUGCCACUUUACUAAUCCAGCAUAAUUCCUAGGUGUAUUCCAAAUACUUGUCCUUCCACCCACAUGUAAGUCUCAUCCUUUAUCACACAAGUAUUCUCUUUUCAACAGAUGGAGAGCAUUACAGAAAUCACAACUUUUCAAACUGUAUAAGUAAAUGAUGCUAUAGUGACCAGUCCCAACUGAUAAAUUUACAGCAGAACUCUUGCACCCAAGGCUCAUGGUUUAUAAUGCAAGAGAGAACAGAAAUCUUGUAAAAGCCAAAGAAGAGGAAGUUCACAGUGUGAUUGCCUCUCCUAGAGAUGUCAGAGAAGCUAUGCUUAUGAAGACUCAUCAACAUAAUUACAUAAACAACACCAGAUCUAGAAAAACACCAAUAAACAUUUUAACAUGGGAAGGAAAUUUUUCAUGGGUUCUCAACUUUGACAAAGAACUAUAGGCAACUAAGGAAUUUUGAGGAAGAAUAAAUGAGCCAAUCCCCAACUGAUUGUUCAGCCCUGGAAUCACAUACAUAAAAUAAUACUAUACAGAAUGAGUAGGUUGUAUUUAUCUGCAGGCUAUGUAUAUGUGUAACAAUGACAGAAACAUAGGCCAUAAAUUUGAGAGCAAAAGGGUUACAUGAGAUGGGUUGGAGCAAGGAAAGGAAAGGGAGAAAAAUAUCAUUUUAAUGUGAAAAAUUUACAGUAAAAAGUAGACUUUUUACUGUAAAUCAGCAUGACUGAUACCAUGGUCAUUUGAAUUAUAAGGAUGAUGUUAGCUACUUGGCAAAAAAUAUAUUAGGUACAACUUCAUUAUCAAGCUAACCAUUUAGUAUAAUUAAAUGUAUAUUUUAGUAACUAAUUUAGUACUGUAUGGUUGUUAAAAUAAUUUAUAAGUAAUAAAAACAUUAACAAUUAAGUAUUCUUAAAAUGUAUAAGAUCAUAAAUAAUAUUUGUUGGACCCAGAGAGACUAACUAGAUAUAACAAUUGGAAUGAAACUUUGGUUGAAAAUAUCCCACUCUUUCCUGGUGGAAAUGUCCUCAAUGCAUCUGAGUCUAAAUACUAGUUUUCUUUCUUUGCCUUAUUUCCUUAUCCCAAAAGAUCAUGUGGGACAAAGAGGAAGUGGUAGUGUAGAGAGAGACUACUUUCAUUGUGACAUUAUCUCCAUUAAGUUUUCCAAUCUUACUAUUCAUUAUAAUGUCGUUAGUUGCUUUCAAAUAAUAGAAAUUGUCUCUACAGCAACUAGAAAUGGUUAUAUUUAAAAAAAUUCUCAAAAUGGUCUAGCAUUAUUCCCUCUUUUGACAAUGGUUGUCUAAGAUCAACUGUGGAGAACUGUUAACCCCCUGUGCUGAGCUCUGAACCCAGUGAGAAGCCCAGCACAAUGAUGCUCCAGUUGUGAAACAUAGAGUCAGGUUUUUCUGGUUAGCCAGGAUGUGAAGAAUUUACAAAUUAAGACUACAAAGUGUUUCCUAAUAAUAUGGCCUCUCUGCCUUUUAGAUAGUUUAGAUAGAGGUUCAUAUAUCUUGUUGGUUUUUCUCAGAGAACCAACUCUUUGUUUCACUGAUUCUUUGUAUUGGUCUCUUUUUUUCUAUUUUAUUGAUUUCAGGCCUCAGAUUUAUAAUUUUCUGCCAUCUACUCCUCUUGGGUGUUUUUGCAUCUUUUUGUUCUAGAGCUUUCAGGUGUGCUGUUAAGUCACUAGUAUGAGUUUACAAGAUUUCUGUACUUUGUGUUGAACUCCAAGUUUAACCCAUGGUGUUCUAAUAAGAUACAGGUUAUUCUAGUUUUUGUGUCUGCUAAGACUUGCUUUGUGAGUGAGUAUGUUUUCAGUUUUGGAGUAAGUUCCAUGAGGUGCUGAGGCAAAGGUGUAUUCUUUGAUAUGAAUCAUUCUGUAGUUAUCUGAUAGGUCCAUCUGAGUCAUAACAUUAUUUCUCUGUUUAAUUUCUGUCUAGACCACCUGUCCAUUAGUGAGAGUGGGGUGUUGAAAUCUCCCACUAUUAAAGUAUAUGGUUCAAUAUAUGGUUUAAGCUUUAGUAAUGUUUUUUUAUAAAUGUGGGUGCUCAUAUUUGGAGCAUAGGUGUUUAGAAUUGAGAUAUCAUCUUGGUGGAUUUGUCCUUUGAUGAAAAUGAAAUGUCCUUCUCCAACUCUUUUGAUUAAUUUUGGGUGGAAAUCUAUUUUGCUACAUAUUAGGAUACCUAUAUUAGCUUGCUUCUUAGGUCUGUUUGAUUGCAAAAUCUUUUUCUAACCCUUUACGUUGAGGUAAUGUCUGUCUUUGAUCUUGGGGUAUGUUUCUUAUAUGCAGCAGAAGGUUAGAUCCUGUUUUUUUGUAUCUGUUCUGUUAAUAUGUAUCUUUUUUAAUUGGUGAAUUGAGUCCAUUGAUAUUGAGAAAUAUUUAAUAACUAGUGAUUGCUGAUUCAUGGCAUUUUGUUGUAGUUAUUGUUUGGUUUUGUUGAUGUUGUUGCUGUUGCUGUUGCUGCUGCUGCUGUUGCUGCUGGUGGUGGUGGUAGUGGUGUGUGUGUCCUGCCCUUUGGGUUUGCUGGUGUGGGAUUAUCUGUUGCUUGUGAUUUUGUGGGUGAAGCUAACUUCCUUCAGUUGGAGUUUUCCUUCUAGAACCUUUUGUAGGGUUAGAUUUCUGGAUAGAUAUUGAUUAAAUUUGACUUUGUCAUGAAGUAUCUUGUUUUCUCCACAUAAGGUGAUUGAAUGUUUUGCUGGGGAUAGUAGUCUAGUUUGUCAUCCAUGGUUUCUUUGAGUCUGCAAGACAUCUGUCCAGACAUUUUGAAUCUCCAUUGAGAAGUCAGUUGUAAUUCUAAUGGGUCUCCUUUUAUAUGUUACUUGGCCUUUUUCCUUUGCAGCUUUUAAUAUUCUUCCUUUAUUCUGAAUGUUUAAUGUUUUGAUUAUUAUGAGGCAAAGGGAAUUAUUUUCUGGUCCAGAAUAUUUGAUGUUCUGCAAGCUUCUUGCACCUUUAUAGGUAUGUCUUUCUUUAGGUUUGGAACUUUUUUUCCUCCAUGAUUUUGUUAAAUAUCUGGAUUUGGAAUGAAUAUAGGACUAGGUAUUGAUGCAUUUUUCUUUGUUGAAUGGGUGAUUUGUUCCUUAGUUUCCUAUUUCCUCUCUGGUAUUAUGGCCUAGGUGGUCAAGGAUUUGGGGGAAUGGAGAGUCUUCAAGUUCAAUAGGAAGUCUCUGCUUGGGUUUUGGAGGGCCUUGGGUCUCUAGAUCCAGCAAAAUCUCCAGUAAAAUCAAAGUCUUCUUCCAAAGUUGAAGGUCAGAAUAUGGACCCCAGGAGAGGUGGUGCUGUUUUUCUGGCUUGUAUGGAGUGUACCUGACACUAUGUAGUCUACUAGAGUUGUGAGGAAGAGCUGGCUAAUGACAAGGAUGGUGUGGCAGAGGGGUUGGUGGAGAGUGGGUUUUGGGAGAAUAGAAUCUAGGAAGUGAUGGCAGUCCAGCUGGCAAGCUGAUCCCUCACUCUCUGCUUAGGGAAUCUUGUAUUUUCAAUUUUUAUUGAUUGAUUCUUCUCUCAUACAAUAUAUUCUGACCAUAGCUUGCCCUCUCUUCACUUCUCCACAUUGUACCCUCUCCCCGAGAUCCACUCUUCCUCCAUUUUCCUUCAGAAAAGUGAAGCCGUCCCAGGCAUGUCAACAGAACACAGCAUAGCAAGAUGCAAAAAGAUGAGGCACAACCCUUCAUAUCAAGACCGAAUGAGGUAACCCAGUAGAAGGAAAAGCAGGCAAAAGACUCAGAGAUACACUUACUCCCACUGUUAGGGGUUUCACAAAAACCCCAAGCUAAACAGUCACAGCAUAUAUACAGAGGACCUAGCUCAGACCUGUGCAGGCUCCCUGAUUGUCACCUCCCUGUCUGUGAGCACCUAUGAACCCUGCUUAAUUGAUUCUGUGGGCCAUAUUCUCCUGGUGUCCUUGAAACCUCUGGCUUCUAUAAUCCUCCCUCUUCUGAGAGGCUCCCCAAGCUCUGCAGGAUGUCUGGUUGUAGGUCUCUGCAUCUCCUCCCAAUAGCUUCUGGAGAAAGUCUCUGUGCUAUCUAUUAGGCUAGGCAUUGAUUUAUGAGUAUGCUAUAAAGCUUUUUACUGCCCCAUCCUCAACUUGAAACUUCAUAUGAUAGUUCCUAGGUUUCAGGAAGGUCUUGAGCUCUUCUGCAAGAGAGCCUCCCAGAGUGUUUGCACAAAAGCAGAAGUCUUUUAUAUGAAUUAGAGUGGUUGAGUGUGGACAAUUAAGAAUAUUCUGAAGCAUAUUGAAAAUAUGCAGUGUGUGUUCCUGUGUGUAUGUUCUUUAAUUUACAUUACAUUCUCAAAUUGCUCCCUACCUCCCUAUCAAAUCUAAGAAUCACUGAACUAAAUAAACCACAGUCAUUUAAUUGUAAGUAAUUCUAUUAGGGACACCAAUUUUGAUGGUCAGAAAAGCAGGCCAUUUGCUUCAUCACAAGACUUUGUCUGUAAAAUGUUUAUCUAGCUUUCCAUAAGUUCUUCAUCUACUAAAUUACCCCUGCUUCUUAAGUAAAAUGUCAUGAACACUAAUGUGCAUUCAUCAUCAGCUUAAUGUCACAAACCUGGUUCUAAAUGUUCCACCAAAUGAAUGCAAAAUUCAUAUCAGAAAAAGGAAAUCACUAAAUGUCUGACCACAAAAUGUACUCAACAUUUCAUAUCUAUUAUCUGUCUAUCACAGCUUCUUCAAUAAAAAGAAAGCCUUUGUGUCUGAAAUCACACAUAAUAUUCUUCUGGCAGUAUCUCUCUGGAAAUGUGUAUCUCUAUUGUUAGAUGGCAGUCUUUGUACAAAGAGGUCAGAUACAAGGGAAAGUAGCCAAGUGAAAGUGGAUGUGGAUGGAACACACACCUCUUCAUAAAUGUGAUUCUGGGUUAGAUAAAAAAGUUUAUGUCUGGUUUAUAAUAUUGUACCAAGAAGGAUAGCCUCUAAGACAAAAUAUUAAAGGACAAAAAACAAAGAACCUUUUGUGAUGUGAAAAUGAUGAGGAAAAAUAUCCCUGCAGUUAAUAUAUUUCAGGAAACUGAAAGUAAAUAACAAUUUUAAACCAGCAUUCUUCAACCACAGAGUCAAAACAUAUUAAGUUUCAGCCUACUUGUACAAAUAGCAGAUGGAGAAAAGAAGGAAGUACUCUUCUACCUUUGAAUGUAGAGAUAAAACGUGUGGCUCAGACAACUGCCUCAGUACCACAUUUUGGGCCCACAAAUUGCAUAUGUGUCACCCCCCAGAUGUUAGUUUUCACCUUCAGCUCAUGACCAUUUAACUCAUAGGUCUAUUGCCUCUGAUAAUGGCCUUGACAGAGACAACACUCAAUUAAUAGUUUAAGACAUACAUGAAUGAAACAAAACAAACUGAAAUAUAUUCAUGUGAGAUUCCAGUUACACUAGUUAAGGUAAACAGAUACCUAUAUUUGUAAAAGUCAGAAUAGCCUACUAAUUUAUCUUUUCUUCCAAGAGAGGAAAUAAAGAAAAUAUAUCUGUAUCUUGUGGAGUUUCAGGACAUAAACCUGGGAAAUCUGGUUCUUCUGCCCUGGGACCUUGUCUAACUGUGAGAAAGAGCAGUGUUGUUAUGGAGUCACAUCUGGACAUGGCAGAAUCACUUUCACCUACAUUUCAUCCAUCAGAUUUCUGUCAUGUGGGUUCACCACAUUGCUAUGCAUUCUAGGACAAAUGCCAUGGCUGUGUCCUCUGGUGGGCAAAAAAAAAAAUAUUGAGUUAUGAUUAACAAUUAGAGCAUCCUAGCUAUACCAUCAUUAGAGCCAAUUCUUUCCUUAGGAGGAAAAGUAUUAUAAUUCAUCAUUGUAUAUAUAACUAUGUAUAAAUGAUACUAGACAACUCAUGACCAACCCUAAAGUUGAUUAUAUACAUGAUAAUUAGCUCUAAAAUGAAGUCUUUUUCUGCAUCUUUGACAGUAAACUCAAGCUAUUAGAGUGUAAAUCAAAUGAAAUGAUUUCAAGCUGAAAAACCACAAAAGAUGUUUACACGACGCAACUGUUACAAUCUACUACAUGCUUGUUGGUGUUAACUGCCUGGUUAACAAACUGAUAAGAAACAACAUUGGUCUCACACUUCUAAAUCUCUUCUAAAAGACUCUUGAACAUUCUGACACAGAUUAUCUUUACUCCUGUCUCUUGCCACAUGUAUUAAUUAGGCAUCUGACUAACACACACUCCUUUGAAAAGCAAAGUGAGAUAAUGGAAGUAUCUGUUUCAAUCUCUCCCAUUUUCACUGCUCUGACCCUUUGGUGACAGUUAUUUAUGAGAUCAUCAGCUUUACAUAUCAAUAAGGUAGAGAUCUGUGUGAUUAUCUUUCAAGUCUCAGCUACACAUUAGCAAACUAGCACCAUUUACCAUUAACUGAAGAAAGGCUUUGUUACCUUAUGUACUUCUGUUUUUAAAUAGAUAACAAUAAUGAUAUGCUUCAGGUCACUAUAUUGCUUGCACUAAGCAAAACAUGUUUAAAGGGAUAUUAAAAAUUCAUUUUUAAAGUAAUUGUGAAGGCUUCUCUUUGUCACUUACAGUCUUCUCCACUUUCAGCUGCUCUACAUUUCCCCUGCAAGUGAGCUCUUUUGCAAAGAAAGAGCAAGUUCAUGGUCAACACCUGCUAACAAACCUAAAGACACACUUUGUCUUUACUUUCAGGAAAAAAUAUUGUAAGAAAUGCAUGUGCAUUAGUUCCUAAACUUGGUCUGUGAGAAAGAAAGCAGCAUUAACUUGAGUUAGGAUAUUCAAAUAUGAGGGUAUGCAUGUCAACAUUACUGAGGCAGAAAAAAAGGAAGAUGGCUAAGUAUACUCGUACAUUUUCUGAUGUAAAUGUUGCACAUAAGGAUUAUUUUGUGACCAAGGCAUUAAAUGAUCUCAUUGAAAGGUUUUAUCCAUGGGAAUAACCAAGCCAUGAUGCUUAAUGGAAAGUACGGUGCAUCUAACACUUUGAAAUCAUGUGUUUCUUCGCCUCUUGUCUAUUUCAGCUAUUCAACUUAUUUAGUUCAUUUUGAAAUUUGUCUGUCAUAUCCAGUUCCUGGAAAUACUUUGAAUUUCACACAGGAGAGUAGAAAAACAAUAUACUAUUUAGUGUAUGAUAAGAUAUUUCCACUACUAUAAAAGUGCAUACCUUGAUAAGGCACCUAGUAUACUAAUCUCAAAAUAAAGAUAACUCUGGCAACAGUGGAUAUUUUAUUUCUAAAGACCCUCUUAACAUGGCAAUGGGAGAGUAAUUUUUAUUUCUCCCUUCAUUUCUUUUGUUGAAAAAACUCAACUUAGUAUAAACAUUCAUGAUGCUAGUCUCUGAAAGGUGAACAAUACUCUUGUCAGUCUCCCCAUUUCUCUCCUAAAAACAAUCUUCUAUUAAAGGGACUACUGGCCAUGCAGUCCUGAGACCGGUGUCUGAAAGCAAAGCCAACAGCAAGAGCCGCAAUCAGGAGGGAGGAGAGAUUCCAAUGAUGAAUGGAUGAUGAUGAUGAAUUAUUUGGAUGGAUAUUUCAAAGACCAGGAAUGAGGUCACAUCAGAACACCAUCCCUUAGUGUCACACAAUUAUGUACUAACAUGUCAACAUCAAAGAUUUUUUGUUUUUGUCUUUGGCUGUCCUGGGACUCACUCUGUAGGCCACACUGGCCUCAAACUCACAGAGAUCCAACUGACUCUGCCUCUGGAGUGCUGGGAUUAAGGAUAUGUGCCACCACCUCCAAGCAACAUCAAAUAUACUUUAUGAUUACUUUGCACUAACUAAAAAUUCUUAUACAUCUAUGCAGACUGAUAGUGUGAUUUUAUUUUCAUGAUUUUUGUUGUUGCUUGUUUGUUGGUUGGUUUUUCAACAAAAUGGACAUGUCCUCAAUCCUUCCAGACAGCAAACACUGGAUAAAUAAGUAAUGUCACUGGUAAUGGCUAAUGACAAAUACAUCAGUGGUGAAUGUUUGUUGGACAGAAUGUAAUUUAUUUGACAAAACCAAUUAGAAAAGAAAGUAUUCUGGAAUCAGCUCACACUUCCUAAUGGGAUAAUCAGUAUUGACCUUUGAGAGAUCCUGCAAGUAAAUAUAUUUAAGAUGUUUAAUAUACAUCUGCUACCAGUGUUUCUUCUUAAAUGAAAUCAAAGGAUUGUACUUUGAUCACAUGCCCUCUUAAAACCAUUCAAAAAUAGUAGUGUGAAUUCAAGCGAGCAGCUGCUUCUGUUCACAGAGACAAUACUGACAUCCCCACAGACUUUCUUAAGUAAAAUCUCUAUGACUCAGAAUCAUUAUAGUAGUUUCUUGAGUCAGUCAUAUUAAUGUAUCAUAUUUUCCUAACACACUCUUAUGCUGACUUCAUGACAACAGACAAGAAAGAAGAAAAAUAAUUAUUAGGAAUUUGCCUUAUUUGGAAUUUGCCAAAAUAUUUAGGAAUUUGCCAAAAUAUUUGACUUCAGCAACUUGACUACUAAAUCAACAUUGGGACCUGGUCUCUGGUUAAAAUUGUACAGAAUUAUCUCAUGCCAUAGGAGUAUCUCACAUAAAUGUGUUUUUUCACUCUCCAAGUAGAUGAAAAUUAAUUCAUAAUGUUUCACCUUAAGAAGAAAUCAAUGAAUGAUUUUUUAUUAAUUUGUUACAUAAUAGAUUAUAUUAUUUUGGCUUGAGCAGCAAAUAUCCCUCUUAGAUUCAUGCAUAAGAAUGCUUGAUCCCGCCGGGCGUUGGGGGCACACCCCUUUAAUUACAGCACUUGGUAGGCAGAGUCAGGCGGAUCUCUGUACGUUCAAGGCCAGCCUGGUCUCCAGAGCGAGUGCCAGGAUAGGCUCCAAAGCUACACAGAGAAACCCUGUCCCAAAAAACAAAAAAACAAACAAACAAAAAAAAAAACAAAGAAUGCUUGAUCUCCAGAUGAUGGCACUGUUUAGGAAGCUUUUAAAACCUGUCCAAAGUGGAGCCUCACUAGAGGAAGUAGGUCAUUAUAGGGAGGUCUUAUAGACUAGGUCCACUUCCUGUUUUCUCUUUGCUUCCUGACUGCAGAUGCAAUGUUACCAACAGCCUGUUGCUCUCACUAACAUGCUAUUCCCACCAUAGUGGACCCUAAAUGACCUCUCAAGCUGUAAGACAAGAUAAAUGCUCCCCCCUUGAGUUGUGGCUUGCCAGGUGCCUUGCCACAGCAAUAAGGAAAGUAAUACAGAAAAUGUUGUUUCUCUCCUAAAGGGGUGACCCAAGACCUUCUAAGACACUUGUGGAGAGUGAAAGAAUUACAAGGGUGUAGUAGAAGAAAUACAUAGAGGUACCAAUUAAGGACAAUUACAGAAACAAGGACUGAGACUGCCAUGAAUGUUCUACCUUAUUUUGUUAAGAAAUGUAUUGUGUAUAUACAAAUAUAUUAAACAGAUAUGUGUGUAUUCUUUCCUUGAUUUACCUUCGUAAGAUUGUAUUUUAAUUAUAACAUUUCUUCCUUCCCUCCCCCCUGCAGACCCUCCCAUAGGCCCCUCCUCACUCUCUUUCAAACUCAUGGCCAAUUCUUUUAUCAAUUAUUAUUGAAUAUACAUUUAUUUGUAUAUACAUAUAUAUUCCUAAAUAUAACCUCUUGAGUCCAUAUAUUCUAUACUUUCAGGUCUCAUUAUUUAGCACUGAACAAUAAAUUGGUAUGCUUUUCUGAGGAGGAUAACCUCUCCAAUGUCCAGCUUUACUCAGUUGCCUAUAGUUCUUUAUGUAGAGGUAAGGCCUUGUGGGAUUUUCCCUAUCCAGUUUGUCCUAUUCAAUGGUGUCUUCCUUGUUCAGCUCCCAUUUGGGUAGCCAUGUUAGUGAGACUUUACAGGAUAAAGAAAAUAUGGUGCAUUUACAUAACAGAGUGUUACUCAGUGGGAAAAAAAUGAAAUCUUGAAAUUCUAAACUAAAGGGAUGGAACUAGAAGAAACCAGAUGAGUGGAGCAAUGGGUUUUAUUAAUUGGAUUUCAAAUGCUUGACCUCACUUAAUAUUUAGAAUAAAUCUUCCUUGUUAUGGAUGAUAUAUUUAUGUUUUCAGUUAGAUUGAGCUGUAUCUUAUUUUGAAAAUUAAUACAUCAGAGAAUAUUAUUGACCUUCCUUUAUUUAAUCCUUACUUAUUUUUAUAUGAUCUUAUGGUAAUUCUGGUCUUGUAGACUGAAUUAAAAAUCAUUCAGUCUUCCUCUAGAUUCUGAGGAAUCUCCAUACUGAUUUCCAAAGUGGUUGUACAAGUUGGCACUCCCACCAGCAAUGGAGGAGUGUUCCCCUUUCUCCACAUCCUCUCCAGCAUAAACUGUCAUUGGUGUUUUUGAUUUUAGCAAUUCUGACAGGUGUAAGAUGCUAUUUCAGAGUUGUUUUGAUUUGAAUUUCCCUGAUGGCUAAGGAUGUUGAGCAAUUUCUUAAGUGUCUUUCAGCCAUUUUAUAUUCCUCUAUUGAGAAUUGUCUAUUUAGUUCUGUGCCCCCCUUUUAAUUGAGUGAGGUAACCCAAUCACAGAAAGACAAACAUUGUUUGUACUCACUCGCGUAUGGAUUUUAGACAUAGAGAAAAGAUUUACCAAUCUACAAUCCACACCUCCAGGGAAGCUAGCAAACAAGGAGGACCCUAAGAGAGAUGUACAUGGUCCCCCAGAGAAGGGGAAAGGGACAAGAGCUCCUGAACAUAUUGGGAGCAUGAGGGUUGGGGGAGGUAGGAGAAAUAGGGGUGAGAAGAAGAGGGGAGAGGAGACCAUGAGGUAUCAGGAAUAUUGAGUCAAGAGAAAAAUAGAGGAGAGCAAAAAAAGAGAUACCUUAAUAUAAGGAGCUGUUAUAGGUUUAAAGAGAAAUCUGGCACUAGAGAAAUGUUCAGAAAUCCACAAAGAUGACCCCAACUAAGAAACUAAGCAAUAAUGGAGAGGCUAUCUUAAAUGUCUUUCCCCUAUAAUGAGAUUGGUUACUACCUUAAAUGCCAUCGUAGAGCCUUCAUCCAGUAGCUGAUAGAAACAGAAGCAGAGAUCCGCAGCUAAGCACUGAACUAAACUCCUGGAAUCUAGAUGUAGAGAGGGAGGAGUGAUGAACAAAGGGGUCAAGACCAUGCUUGGAAAACCCACAGAAACAGCUGACCUGAGCAAGUAGUAACUCAGGGACCCCAGUCUGACAGCUGGGGAAUCAGUAUUGGAUUGAACCAGGCUCCCUGAACAUGAGUGUCAGUUAGGAGACCUGGCAGUCUAUGGGGACUCUGGCAGUGGAACCAGUAUUUAUCCCUAGUGAAUGAAUGGAUUUUGGGAGCCCAUUCCCCUAGGAUAGAUACUCUCUCAGCCUAGAUACACAGGGGAGGGCCUAGGCCCUGCCCCAAAUGUUGUGACAGACUUUGAUAAUCCCCCAUGGAAGGCCUCACCCUCCCUAGGGGGUGGAGGGGUGUGGUAUGGAGGAGUUAAUCGGAGAAUGGGAGGGAGAGGGAACUGGGAUUCAUAUGUAAAAGAAGAUUCUUUCUAGUUUAAAUAAAUUUUGUAAUAAAAAUAAAACCCAUUGCAUUGACAAACUAAACAAAAAUAUACAUAAGCAGCUUAUUCAUAUAUAGGUCACACUAUUCAUAAUAAAAAAGAAAAUCUGCCAGAAAACUUAGAAUUGAGACAAAGUUCAUGAGCUUAAUAAGAACAAUCUAGGAAAAUACUUUCAGGAAACAUCCAUUACCCUUCAUAGGAAACUAGAUUUUGUCUAAAUGUGAAGGGAAGCAAAGAAUGAAUGUGUCCAAUUGUGUUCAACAGCAUUCUAGAAGUUCUAGAUAACACAAUGAAACAUGAAACACACACACACACACACACACACACACACACACACACACAAUGAAAAGUGAAACUGUGUUAUAGAUGAAUAAAUACGAUAGAUAUAUGUACAAAUAUAUACUUAUUUGUGUACAAAACUUCCAGCUGUGCAUGGUGAUGCACGCCUUUAAUUCCAGAACUCAU